rnacentral:rRNA from 1 species
AUCAGGAGGUUAGUGCAAUGGCAUAAGCCAGCUUGACUGCGAGCGUGACGGCGCGAGCAGGUGCGAAAGCAGGUCAUAGUGAUCCGGUGGUUCUGAAUGGAAGGGCCAUCGCUCAACGGAUAAAAGGUACUCCGGGGAUAACAGGCUGAUACCGCCCAAGAGUUCAUAUCGACGGCGGUGUUUGGCACCUCGAUGUCGGCUCAUCACAUCCUGGGGCUGAAGUAGGUCCCAAGGGUAUGGCUGUUCGCCAUUUAAAGUGGUACGCGAGCUGGGUUUAGAACGUCGUGAGACAGUUCGGUCCCUAUCUGCCGUGGGCGCUGGAGAACUGAGGGGGGCUGCUCCUAGUACGAGAGGACCGGAGUGGACGCAUCACUGGUGUUCGGGUUGUCAUGCCAAUGGCACUGCCCGGUAGCUAAAUGCGGAAGAGAUAAGUGCUGAAAGCAUCUAAGCACGAAACUUGC